GAUAGUAUGGUGCAGUGGUAGCACGUCUGUCAUGCGAUCGUGCAUUCCUUUCAGCCUCGAACGAGGUCGUACAGUGCCGAAACAGGCCCGUUACCCGCAGGGACCAAUGCCGACAGAAGACUGGUUCAAAUCCAGAUACUAUCG